ACUGGCGCGGAAGCACAAAACUCUAGUAAACAGAAAAAAAAACAAACUAUUCUUUCCCUUCUUGAGAAAAGGGACGGCACAAGAAGGAAAGGUCCCUCUGUUUUUCUCAAGGUUUUUUACGUUCACUAAGGGAAAACUCAUGCGCCCAGAAGGGAGGAAGCAGGGGAAAAUGGCUCCAUCUUCCAUCAUCUCCAGCCACCAUAAUAUCUCAAGUUCCGAUUUAGCCACUUGCCUACCACCGCCCAAUCAUUACAAGUUCCAACUCCUUCGCCGGUCGCCGCCGUAGACCAUCAGUCUCGGGAGGAGCACGUUCUGUUGUCACAGGCUUGGAGUCCCUGGCACACACAUGAUCUUUGGUGAUGAUCAUAGUACGCCCUGUCGAACAGAAUCGAGACGAUGUCGCUGAGCAUGAAUUGCGAUCACACCAAUUCAGAUCACAAACUUUGGCCGACACAUGUUACGCUCACUAACUGGAGCAAUUGUGAUGGCUGGUUGCUAGCCGCCUCCUUGCCACUGAGUCACCCUGCAAUGUCCUCAACCACGCGAUGUCUUGAUACUUUUUAUAAAAUCAAUGUGCGUUACCUCCUUCACAAUACCAGUCUUGUCCUUUGGUUAUUGAUUACUCCACCUUCAUCAAUUUCAUUGUCCAGAAGCAGGUAAUCAAUCUAAGAGCACCCACUAAAAUCACAUUCUAAUUGCGUCAUCUACUUCCUGCUUCAUUCUCUGUGCAUGAUAUAUUCUACUUCACCGCGUGCUGUUGAGGGAAAUCAUGGUCGACAAUCAAUAUGAAGUGAGCAAGUUGUACUUAUUCUCUGUCUUUAGUUGAUAAGCUUUUGCCUAUGGCAAUCAAUGAAUGAACUAGUUAAUAGCUUGCUCAGAAUUAGUGAAUGAGGAUCUACUUCUUUUCUUGGAAGCGUGAUGUCGUCACUUUGUCUCCAGUAGUGGGAAGAGUUUAUUGUUCUUUUUGAACUUGCAUAAGAAUCAAUGGAA